ACUAAACUGUACAUAAAAUAGUCUGGACCCUUUGGAUAAAAUAGGCGUUAUUAGGAGAAACAUAUACAUAAAAUGAUGACUAGUUGGACUUGUCUAGCGUUCCUGGCAGCCAUUGCAUUCGUCAGCGGAGACAAGCCACCGUUUCCUUGUACAAGAGUAACAGGCACAAGCUUUCGAAAUACUUCUCGACCUCCAUUUGGCCUUUUUUGUGAAGAAGUUAAUAACGUGACACACCCGAAUCGGACAUGGAUUGGCUUUAAUUUGAAGAGGCCGCACUGCACAUUAUGCUGUGCUGGGAAAGACAGGACAGGAAAUAUAUACUACAAUGUAUCAAAAUUGUCGACACGUUCAUGCUCCAAUCUGAAAAGAAAACAUUGAAGCCACGUGCACUAAUUCGAGAACCAAAAAGAACUAAUGAUACUUCAGUUGAGAGAUUGCUUGCAAGAAGUCACCUCUGAUGAAGGAUUUCCGAAAAUAAAUGUCAAACCUAUAAGCUUU